UACGUAGGUGGCAAGCGUUGUCCGGAAUUACUGGGUGUAAAGGGCGUGUAGGCGGGACUGCAAGUCAGAUGUGAAAUCCCGGGGCUUAACCCCGGAGCUGCAUCUGAAACUGUGGUUCUUGAGUGCUGGAGAGGGAAGCGGAAUUCCUAGUGUAGCGGUGAAAUGCGUAGAUAUUAGGAGGAACACCAGUGGCGAAGGCGGCUUUCUGGACAGUAACUGACGCUGAGGCGCGAAAGCGUGGGGAGCAAACAGG
rnacentral:rRNA from 1 species